rnacentral:lncRNA from 1 species
GUCCAUAGAAGAGCUGAGGUCACAGAUAUAUCUCCUUUUUGUCUGGAUACUGAGUCUCCUGAAGAGAAGCUGAGGAUUUGGGCAACAGUCUGGAGCAGAAGGUGUCUCAGGUCACCAAUGAUGAGCACAGCUCAGGAGAUGAGAGCUCAGGAUUGGGAUUGACAUUGUUGUCUCUGAGGCUGGAGAAGAGGAUGCCCAACCUCACCAUGGAACCCAGGUUCCUGAGAUUCCCAAACCUUCUUCAUCCCGAGCAUAAAUAAGCGCAUUGUGAGGCCUAAGAACCAGAGUAGCAUGUCCGAGUUCCUCUUCCUGGGGCUCCCCAUCCCCCUGGAGCAGCAGGACUUAUUCUUCACCCUGUUCCUGGGCAUGGACCUGACAAUGGUGCUAGGGAAUCUGCUCAUCAUCCUGCUCAUCAAGCUGAACUCUCGCCUCCACACCCCC